AACGAACGCUGGCGGCAGGCUUAACACAUGCAAGUCGAACGCCCCGCAAGGGGGGUGGCAGACGGGUGAGUAACGCGUGGGAACGUACCUUUCAGUUCGGAAUAACUCAGGGAAACUUGUGCCAAUACCGGAUACGCCCGUAAGGGGAAAGAUUUAUCGCUGAAAGAUCGGCCCGCGUUGGAUUAGCUAGUUGGUGGGGUAAUGGCCUACCAAGGCGACGAUCCAGAGCUGGUCUGAGAGGAUGAUCAGCCACACUGGGACUGAGACACGGCCCAGACUCCUACGGGAGGCAGCAGUGGGGAAUAUUGGACAAUGGGCGAAAGCCUGAUCCAGCCAUGCCGCGUGAGUGAUGAAGGCCCUAGGGUUGUAAAGCUCUUUCACCGAUGAAGAUAAUGACGGUAGUCGGAGAAGAAGCCCCGGCUAACUUCGUGCCAGCCGCCGCAGUAA
rnacentral:rRNA from 1 species